CUCCCAAGUAGCUGGAACUACAGGCACCUGCCACCAUGCCCAGAUGUGAUUAACCCACCCUGAGAUGGGGGUUACCUGGAUUAUCUGGUUGGGCCCUGAAUGUUACCACAAGUGUCCUUGCAAGACGAAGGCUGAAGUAGAUCUGACUACAGACAGCAGAGAAUAUGAUACGACAGUAAAGAAAGAUUUGAAGAUGCUACACUGCUGGCUUUGAAGACAGAAGAAGGGGCCAUGAGCCACAGAAUGCAAGAAGUACAGCUCUGGAGGCUGGAAAAGGAUUCGUCCUAGACCCUCCUCAGGGAGCAUGGCCAUGCCAACACCUUGGUUUCAGCCAAGUGGAAAUGAUUUCAGACUUCUGACCUCCAGAACUGCAAGAGAACAAGUAUAUGUUGGUUUAAGUCGCCAGGUUUGUGGGAAUUUGUUACAGCAGCCAUAGAAAGCUAACACUCCUUUAUAUCCCUAUAGUGCCCAUGUAUUCAACAGGCAUGCUUAUUUCUUAUAGUUGUUUAGGCCCUGAAUCAAACUUUCUCCACACCUGAAUAGUCCCCAUUUGCCAUCUAAUGUUUCUACACAUAAGCCUUAGCAUAUAUGAAAACGGUGUUAAACAUGUCCCAUUAGUGUAUAAAGGGAGUCAGUGUAAAUUUAUUUACCUGCUGUAGCUUCACACAGCAAUGGCUGGUGGCCCAAACAGACCAGGCCAGGUGGCACAUGGCUGCACUGCCACUUGGUCCUAUGAAUCCCAAGAGGACUACAUGACUUUUCUGGAGGCCCUUCUUACAGGGAUGGGAGUGCCACACGCUUACCCGUGAAAUAACUAUUGGUAAUUUUGUUUACAAAAUGGGAAUACAAGCCUAUAAAAAUCCAAGUAUAGGUGUUCUGAGCAGAAAUUGUCCAAAGCUCAUUUACACAGCAGGGUGAAUAGAAAAAGCUUACCUGAGCUUAUAUGCUGAACUUGAAGUUACAUAGUUAACACAUGUGAAUACAAUCUCCUUGUAAAAAGUUAAAAAAAAUCAGGUAGGGCCAAAUAAGAUCCCUCAUGAGGACUAUAUGCCCCUUAUGAGGACUAUACACCCCUGCCUCAGUUUCCUCCCUGGUUUGUUUCUAACUUACAAUGGAUACAUGAUCCAAAAUAACAUUUCUGAGUAUUUUAUCAACCAUCACACACUGAAACUAUAAAUACAUUUUGUUAUGCAAGCUGAAUACUAAACAAUGAGACAGAGGAUUUUUAUUUUUUUGUUUAGGAGGGACAAACACAAAGCUCAUUUUCUAUCAAGUUAAAAUAAAUUAGACUAACAAUG
rnacentral:lncRNA from 1 species